rnacentral:lncRNA from 1 species
UAAAUAUUGCUGCUCUUGCUUUCAUAUCUGUACUUUUACCUUGCAUUCCUGAGAGAUACAGUUUUUGUUAUUUGCCGCAAUCUACUAUUCCCCAAAAUCACUGAUGACAGAAUGAUAAUAAUAUUUGCAAAUAUUUCCCCUUAAGUUCUUAAGUUUUCAGUCAUUAAGAAAGAAAGAAAGAAAGAAAGAAAGAAAGAAGGGAGGGAGGAAAGAAGGGAAGAAAGAAAAUGUUAAAGGUACCAAGGACAUUCUGAGCUUACAGCUGGUUUCAGCAAUUUUCACUUACGCAAGACCCCAUGUUUGUGAAAACAACCCAAGAAUCUUUAAGCAGGAUGUAAUCAACCUCUGAGCUUCUGAGAAACACUGCAAAAAUGACUUCAGCUGCCCAAAAUAAUAAUGUCCUUUACAAGCAGCUCUUCCUAUAUCUAAGGAAGAGCUAACCACAUGUGAGUUUUUGCUGGCUUCUGGGGAACAAGCAAAGAAAAUGACAAAUCCCAUCUACUCCACCCUAAAAUAUACAGUAAGCACCAGAAUCCUGCCGGAAGCUGUGAACCAUUCCAAAAGGUGCUGGAAGUAUCACAGAAGACUUAUAUCCAGAAUAAUUCUGAAUGAGCAAGCGCCAAGCCUGAAAUUGCAGGAAAAAGGGACAUGGAUGGGGACAAAGGCUUAUGAGGAAAGACAGAUGAAACAGAUGAACAGAAAGAACUUCAGUUCUUCCCAGUGUCAUUUAGUAGCUCGAGCAACCCUGAGAUGAAUGAAAUAAAAAUAUUCAGAAAAUAACUCCUGGAUUUCAAUGAGAGAAAACUUUACCAGUUCACAGCAGGAAAUACAUUUUGCCUCACCAUCCAUGAAGACUCUUCACCUGAAUGAGAUCCUGUUACUAGAUCACAGCCAAUUGUUGACCACACCCUGGUUGCAUUUGAUGACCAAGGAGGGUACCUUCCUGGCAACCACAGAGACAGCUCAUCAGGAUGAUAGUGAUCUUAUGCCCACUGGAGCUAAAGAUGAGUCUUUUCCCAGUUUCAUCAAAUGGUUGGAUCCCAGUGGCUGGUGUCCCCACCCUUCUGCAAGUCGCCACACCCUGACUCACCUUGGUGCCUUCUCUGCAAUCUUCCUCUACUCCAGGACACCUGACCUCUGCCCUGAGAGCAUUCUUUAAAUCUGGGCUCAAGUAUCACAUCCUCUUCUCAUCUUUCAUUCCUAGGCUCUGGACCCCUGACUCCACUUUGUUUCUUUUGGAUCACACCAGCACGAGGAGGUGCGCCUCCCCCUCACAGAAGAGGCCCACCAAUGGGCUCUGAGCUCUGGUGGAGGGAAUGCUCUCUGGUGUCCAGGCUGGGGUUGGCGUGGAGUGCAUCCCCGGCCUUCUUUUGAUUAGCAUAGGUCUUGUUCUCUGGGACUUUCAUUUGAAAAAGUACCCAAACCAACUGGAGAUAAAUAAAAAUAAUUUAAUGAGUUUUCACUUAUAAAUAUGUUUGUGAAAAGCUACCCAGAGUGGAGGUAAAAAAAAUAGCACUUGUGAAAAUGUUUAGGCUAAAAUAUUUACACUUUUUAAUUAAAAAUGUAAUUUAGAAAUUUUUAAAGUACAACUUGCUUUGAACUUACGGUUAUAUCAGCACCUGCAGUGGGAGGAUUUACAGUAAAAAUUAUGAUGCCCAAUAAAAGAGUCAGCUGAAGCUGCCAACAGUUUUACAUUCUUUAACUAUAAAAUGAAAUAGGGGGGAAGGUUGUACUCAUUUUAUACACUAGAAAUAAAAAGAAUUAUUGAAAGAAUUUUAUCUAUAAAAUGAUUGGUGAAUGUAUCAUUUUAUGUUUAUCAACAUAAUGUAACUAGCUUUCUGUCAAUAAUGUAUCAGUAAUUGGACACUUUUCAUUUUUAACACAUUUUCACUUUCAGAUUUGUAUAAAAAUGGUACAAAAUAUAAAAUCAAAAGUGGUGUAUACCUGUAAUCCCAGGACUCUGGGAAGCUAAGUAAGGAGAAUCACAAGUUUGAGAGCAGUCUGAACAAUUCAGGGACUUAGGGACUUAUCUCAAAAUGCAAACAUUAAAAAAUAUGGUUGGGGAUGUAGCUCAGGGUGAAGGCCUUGGGACCCAUUCUCAGUACUGAAAAAGCAAAAAACAAACCAGCCUCUGAAAUAUGGUUUCCUGGGCCUAACAUCCUGCUUCCUCCUCUGACCAAAUCUUAGGACUUAAAUAGUUUUUAAAAUUGCCCGUGCCUCAGUUUCCCCCUCUGUAAAAUGAAGUUAGUAACAACAUGUGUCUCUCAGGGUUACAAAUUAAGCAACUAAGUCAGUGCUGGUUGUUAUCUUUAUCAUUAUUACUUUUAUUUGUUUGUUUGUUUUGGUAUGGGGAUUUAACUCAGGACCUUGCACUUGCAAGGCACACUGCCACUGAGCUAAAUCCCCAGCCCUCAUUAUUACUUUUAAAAAUUUUUUCAUUUAGGUGACACAAUAAUGUAACUAACCUAAAAUCACUGAAAAUUCUUGAUGAAGCCAAUGUGUACUAAAAAACAGAAAAAAAAGCUUCUUUUUGUUUACAAUUUUUUUCUCUUUAUUACUAAAUGAAAUGGCAGUUGCCUUUUAUAACUGCAAUUGAAAUUUGCUGGCUUUAUAUUUUAGUUCACAAAUCUAAGGUUUUCAACACCUAAAUGGCUAAUAUUUUAAAAUUGAGGACUCUUGUCUUUAAUUAAUGUUCAAAGUAUGAACAGAAUUAUUGUUAUAUUGUUUUAUUUUCUAUUCCUUUGUAAACAGAGAUGACAUUUGUGACUUAGAUUACAUUCCUUAGAUAAAAACUUUAUAGAGGAGAUACAGAUAGUAGGGGAAUAUAAUAGAAAUUAUCUAUAAAUCUAUAGUAAAAUAUAGUAUUUUUAAUCCUAGGAUUUCCAGAUCACCUGUAUCUGUUUAUAAUAAAUCUAAUUUUUAACUGAAAUUUAUGAUAUCUUCCACAAUACAAAUUGAAACACUUCUCACUUGAACAUCUGGUAGAGUGUUCAUCUCAAAGUUAAUUCAAGAUUCACACAUUUCAUCAAUAUGAUAUUUGUAAGCACAAAAAUAUAGCCCCUAAAUAUAGAAUAUAAAUUUAUCUUCAAAGAGAUAAAUGUUUUCAAUUCUUUGCAGUUGGUAUGAUUAUCUACCUAAGGAAAAGAAUCGGUUUUAAACAAAGUUUUAAAAAGAUUUAAAUGUCACUUUAUUUUUUAUGUAUCAUAACUUUUCAUCAGUGAUAUAAUUUUAGAAAUGUAUUUAAAAAUAUGUUACCUUUCUAGAAAGAAUGAAAAUAAUUAUAACUAGCAUUAGAAGAGCUUCAAAAAAUGUGCUUGACAUACACAAUACAAUUUUUUAAACAUUUUCAGAAUUACAAAAGAAUACACCAAAAAGAAAUACACCUUAUUGUUAAAAAAAGUGAAUACUUGAGACAUGAGUAAAGUUUUAUAAGUGAUUACAAUAAAUUAUAAGUUGUUAUAGUCUAAGAAAUUUGACAGAUAUCUGGAUGGCUGUUUUAUUUUGUUUGGUGAGACUUCACAGACUAUUCCAUAAUUCACCUAAAGGUUAGAGAGUAACUAAAUAUAUUUUAGAAAAAAAAAUAGAUUUUUGAGUUAAAAUUGACCCCAUUUUACAAUGAAAUACAAUGAAUGUUCAGGUAAUGUUUUAUGUAAUUGACAAUGGUGGAGAAAUUCUAGUAACUUAAAAAAAAGAACCAACUGCUAACAUUGUCACCCUAAAAAAUACUACAUUCUAUUCCUACUUUUCCAUUUUCUCAUAUUAAUCCCAUUCCCUUCAGUCCUUUCUCCUAUCCCUCCCACUUUGUAAAUAGGGAGGAAUGGAGGGGUUGAAGGGAGGGCUGGGCAAGGGUGAAAAAGAAGAACCAAGAGAGAUUAUUUAAAGGUGCAUUCCAAUGAUGAAAAUAACAGGGAAAAAAGGAAAAAAAAGGAGAGAAAAGCAAAUAUUUGCAAAAUAGGAAGAAAAGGUCCAAAGGGGUAGGGGUAGUGGGAGGGGCAGGGGAAAGGAAAGAAGGGAAAGGAAAAAAUGAUGAGAAAUGGAAAAAAUGGAAAUAAAGUCUUUGUAAAUAGGGAAGGGUGGAGGGGGUGAAGGGAGGGCUAAGAAUGGGGAAAAAAAAGAAGAACCAAGAUGCGUUAUGUAAAGGUACAAUUCCCAAUGAGAAAUGUAAUUGUGUUGUAUACCUAAAAUGUACCAAUAAAAGAAUUUAACAAAAAAAAAUUACAUUCUCUCACAUGAUAGAUAUGCCAAUCAACCUGAUCUGAUUGUCACACACUGUAUACGUGCAUUGAAAUAUCACACUAUACACGAUGAAUAGGUAGAAUUACUAUGCCUCAAUUAAAAAUAUGUUUUAAUUGAAAUGUGUUUUAAAAAUAUAAGCAUGAUUAUUUAGAGAAUGAGUUUGGAAUAAUUUAUCAACUACUUUAGAGGAAAAACUAGAUAAUGACUGUUAUUUACUCUAAGUGGCAAAAUAAAUUUCAGAUUUAUCAGUGUAUUUACUUUUAAGGAAACAUAACAAUUUAAAAUAUCAAAUAAACUACUUUAGGUACAGGAAAAUUAGAAAACCCACAGAAUGAAUAAUCAAGGGAAAAUGCACAUAUUGCAUCAUAUAAAAUUAUAACCCAUAAAAUAUAUGUAAAU